CGAGUACUCCUUUCGUUCCAAAUUACUUGUCACACAAAUAGAUGUAUUUAGAACUAAAAUACAUCUAGAUACAUCCAUACCUGACAAGUAAUUCGGAACGGAAGGAGUAUCUC
rfam:Triticum aestivum genome assembly, contig: Triticum_aestivum_CS42_TGACv1_scaffold_472337_6AL